GCAUCGAUAGCUCAGUGUGGCAGAGCGGUGGGGCGUUUACCCAUGCGGCCCGGGUUCGAUCCCCGGUCGAUGCA